GUUUUGUUAUUGUUAUUUUAAAGAGAAACAUAUUGCCUUACACCAGAGCAGACCAUGGCUGCAAACUAUUGCCUGACCUCUGUGCCCAGAGGUUACUGGAACUGAAGUGGGUUGUACCAUC
ensembl:snoRNA